AGAGAGGCGCCCGAUCCGAAAUCUGGUCGCCAUCCCCUGACGCAGGGUGGAGCAAGUCCGUGCACUUUGUUAAUUGUCUCUUGGGCUUAUCGGAUUUUUCCAGUGGAAUUUUAAACAAAAAAGCAGCGUCCCGGCGGGAGAAAGCCGCUGAACAAAGCGAAGAAAGGAAAGGAAUGAGUGAGGCCUGAAGGAGACAUCGCCAGAGAGCUCCGGAAGCUGGCCGACAAUGAAGGCUGCCAUCUACCAUGCCUUUUCUCAUAAAGAAGCCAAGGACCACGAUGUGCAGGAAAUGGCAGCCUGUGCCCACCUGAAGCCAGUCUUGCUCUUGCUUCUGUAUCCUGGUCAGUGCUCAGCCCAUUUCCUAAGUGGAUGUUACAAGUUCUGUCUGGAUGUUUCAUGGUGCUUUGUCAUUUGGGCAACAGCUUCACCUGUGGCUCCUAAAGAGAACAUAGCCUUGAAGUCAAGAUUUUAAAAGGAGCUGGGAAGCCAGCGGGCUGAGGCCUUUGUGCGGGCCUUCCUGAAGCAGAGCAUACCUCACAUGAGCCAAGAAGACUGUGAGAGCCAUCUGCAGCGCAAGGCCGUGAUCUUGGAAUAUUUCACUCGCCUAAAGCCAAGGCCAAGGCCAAAGAAGAAAUCCAAAGGCCUCUCUGCCAAACAGAGGAGAGACAUGCGGCUCUUUGACAUUAAACCAGAGCAACAGAGAUACAGCCUGUUCCUCCCUCUCCAUGAACUCUGGAAACAGUACAUCCGGGACCUGUGCAAUGGGCUCAAGCCGGACACGCAGCCACAGAUGAUUCAGGCCAAGCUCCUAAAGGCAGAUCUUCAUGGUGCUAUUAUUUCAGUCACGAAAUCCAAGUGCCCCUCCUAUGUGGGAGUUACAGGAAUCCUUCUGCAGGAGACCAAACAUGUCUUUAAGAUCAUCACCAGAGAAGACCACCUAAAAGUCAUCCCCAAGCUGAAUUGUGUGUUCACCAUAGAAAUUGAUGACUUCAUUUCCUACAUUUAUGGAAGCAAAUUCCAGCUUCGGGCAAGUGAGCGGUCUGCCAAGAAGUUCAAAGCAAAGGGAUCAAUUGACCUGUGAACUCUGCCACUGGAGACAGAUGUCCCUGACACUGAAGAACUGGAAACUCCCUAAAUACUCACUUUUUCUUGAAGAGCCUCUGGCUGUAGCCCGUCUGUAGUCCAGGGAAAACAGAGGGGCUGAAGAGCAUCGAACAACUCGGGAGAAAGCUAGGGGUAAAUAUUUGUACUGUUAGGUGACCUUAAGUUAGCUUUAGUUCCACAGGGAGGAAAGACUAGCAGAAACACACCAGGAUUAACCUUGGGUCAUCUGAAGAAGGGGGCAUUUAGGCUCUGCCUUUCCUACUUCUCUGUGUAUCCUGAACAUUCUAACAAAAUCAGCUAUUGAAAUAAUAAUAAAACCAGACCACGGGCAUAAA